rnacentral:rRNA from 1 species
UAGGGAAUCUUCCACAAUGGACGCAAGUCUGAUGGAGCAACGCCGCGUGAGUGAAGAAGGUCUUCGGAUCGUAAAGCUCUGUUGUUGGUGAAGAAGGAUAGAGGCAGUAACUGGUCUUUAUUUGACGGUAAUCAACCAGAAAGUCACGGCUAACUACGUGCCAGCAGCCGCGGUAAUACGUAGGUGGCAAGCGUUGUCCGGAUUUAUUGGGCGUAAAGCGAGCGCAGGCGGAAUGAUAAGUCUGAUGUGAAA